GACGAACCGUGCGAACGUUGUUCGGAAUCACUGGGCUUAAAGGGCGCGUAGGCGGGUCAUCAAGUCAGGGGUGAAAUACUUCGGCUUAACCGGAGAAGUGCUUUUGAUACUGGUGACCUCGAGUGGUGUAGGGGCAUGUGGAACUUCCGGUGGAGCGGUGAAAUGCGUAGAUAUCGGAAGGAACGCCGGUGGCGAAAGCGACGUGCUGGACACCUUCUGACGCUGAGGCGCGAAAGCCAGGGGAGCAAACGGGG
rnacentral:rRNA from 1 species